CCUACGGGUGGCAGCAGUGAGGAAUAUUGGUCAAUGGCCGGAAGGCUGAACCAGCCAAGCCGCGUGAAGGACGAAGGUGCCAAGCAUUGUAAACUUCUUUUGUCAAGGGACAAAAUCAGGCUCGAGAGCCUGACCGAGUGUACUUGAAGAAAAAGCAUCGGCUAACUCCGUGCCAGCAGCCGCGGUAAUACGGAGGAGGCGAGCGUUAUCCGGAUUUAUUGGGGUUAAAGGGUGCGUAGGCUGACUGUUAAGUCAGCGGUAAAAGCCCGGGGCUAAACCCCGGCGAGCCGAUGAAACUGGCUGUCUUGAGAUGUCGAGAGGGAACCGGAAGGCGCAGUGUAGCGGUGAAAUGCUUAGAUAUUGCGCAGAACUCCGAUGGCGAAGGCAGCAUACCGGCGGUGAUCUGACGCUGAGGCACGAAAGCGUGGGUAUCGAACAGGAGUAGAUACCCGUGUAGUC
rnacentral:rRNA from 1 species